rnacentral:rRNA from 1 species
UACGUAGGGUGCGAGCGUUGUCCGGAAUUAUUGGGCGUAAAGAGCUCGUAGGCGGUGUGUCACGUCGGCCGUGAAAACCUGCAGCUUAACUGUGGGCGUGCGGUCGAUACGGGCAUCACUAGAGUUCGGAAGAGGCGAGUGGAAUUCCCGGUGUAGCGGUGAAAUGCGCAGAUAUCAGGAGGAACACCAAUGGCGAAGGCAGCUCGCUGGGACGGUACUGACGCUGGAGGCGACGAAAGCGUGGGGAGCAAACAGG